rnacentral:rRNA from 1 species
UACGUAGGGUGCGAGCGUUGUCCGGAAUUACUGGGCGUAAAGAGCUCGUAGGCGGCUUGUCGCGUUGUUCGUGAAAAUUUACCGCUCAACGGUGAACUUGCGGGCGAUACGGGCAGGCUAGAGUACUGCAGGGGAGACUGGAAUUCCUGGUGUAGCGGUGAAAUGCGCAGAUAUCAGGAGGAACACCGGUGGCGAAGGCGGGUCUCUGGGCAGUAACUGACGCUGAGGAGCGAAAGCGUGGGGAGCAAACAGG